rnacentral:rRNA from 1 species
CCUACGGGUGGCAGCAGUGAGGAAUAUUGGUCAAUGGGCGCGAGCCUGACCCAGCCACGUCGCGUGAAGGAUGACUGCCCUACGGGUUGUAACCUUCUUUUAUAAAGGCGUAACGUGAGGCACGUGUGCCUUUUUAUAUCUACUUUAUGAAUAAGGAUCGGCUAACUCGAUGCCAGCAGCCGCGGUAAUACGGAGGAUCCGCGCGUUUCCGGAUUUAUUGGGUGUAAAGGGAGCGUAGAUGGGUUGGUAAGUCAGUUGUGAAAGUUUGCGGCUCAACCGUAAAAUUGCAAUUGAUACUGGCAGCCUUGAGUACAGUUGAGGCAGGCGGAAUUCGUGGUGUAGCGGUGAAAUGCUUAGAUAUCACGAAGAACUCCGAUGGCGAAGGCAGCUUACUAAACUGCCACUGACAUUGAGGCGCGAAAGUGUGGGUAUCAAACAGGAUUAGAUACCCGAGUAGUC